CCCCUGGUGGUCUAUCGGUUAGGAUUCAGACCUCUCACCACUGCUACCCAUGCUCGAUUCCUGGUCAGGGAA
rnacentral:tRNA from 1 species